UUGUAGGGAACAACAAAAUUGCUGCAGUUAAAAAGCUCGUAGUCGGAUGUUUCGAGUGUUUUGUGUGAUUUGCAUGAUGUGCCGGAAGGCGCGUUGUUUUGGCAAGUGACCCACUCGAUUGUUGAGGUGGACUCUCGUGUCAGUUAAUUCUGUCUUGCGGGAUGAUUAGAAGCCUCUCUUGCACUGUGAAUAAAACGAAGCGCUCCAAGCAGUUUGGAAAGACUGAACGAUAAAGCAUGGGAUGCUGUCAGAAGAUCUUGGGAUGACGAGUUGUCGGUGAAUUGUGAUCCUAGAUAAUGAUUACAGGAGCAGUUGGGGCGAUUGGUAUUGCAGGGGUACCGGUGAAAUGGAGAUCCUUGCAAGACUGACGAAAGCGAAAGCAUUUCGCAAGGAUGUUUNCAAUG
rnacentral:rRNA from 1 species